GCGCACGUGCGCAGCUUAGAGGGAACGUUGAUGAGGAGCACUACCAAAAGUCUGACCUGCAUAGGCGCAUCUGCUCAGUGUCCUCCUCAGUCAUGCCGAUUACAUAAUUGUUGCUGAGGAGGACUAAUGAGGGAACAUAGCUGUCUGUUAGUUUUUAGUGUGGACACAAAACGGCCAACAAAAAGCCAAGUUUAAAACCAGCCCACCGAGACUUUAAAGCGACAGCCAGAGUGAUUCCGUAGAAACAUGCACUGAACAGGCGGAAAUGGAGGCUAUGCUACAAACCUGACUGCUCAUCACUGCCUUCGUUACCUGUUGAAGUUCAUGGUCUGAGUGCUGGGCUGAGGUCAGUAAUCACGGAGCUUUAAUAUCAUUCUGGAUUUUAGGUUACUUUUGAGUCAGCGUUCCGUCUGUGCAAAGUUGUGUUGACAGUGUAAGGGUGACACCAUCCUGAACACAGGAACUAAAAUCAGCACAUUGUAGGAUGCAUCCCAUCCCUCAGAUAAGUGAAGAAACUUACAACGGAAGUAAUUUCAUACUUCCAGAGAUGGGAGGUAACGAAGUAGAUUUUUCAGGGAGAGAAAGAAAAAGAGCUAACUUCAAUCAGAGUUGGAGAAAGAUAAGAAAGACUGGAGAGGAAGAGAAGGGUUGUAUUUAAUGCAUCUGUCCAUCUGUCUGUGGCAGGGGGAGUUGGAGCCUAUUAACCACCAAUUUAGGGCGUACCCAUGAUAACCUCUGCACACAGGUCUUGCCCAUUGAAAUCGAUCGUCAUCUCCCAGGUGCUUUUCUGAAAAAUGACAGAUUAAAGUGAUCAGCAGAUAAAAGGCCUGGAGGUGAUUUGAGGUUUGGUGCUUGCAUUUGGAAGAUUUAGCUGUGAACAGACAACAUGCAGUCAAAGAAGCUCUCCGUGCAGGUAAAACAAGUUAUCCCUAAGCUACAAAAACAGAAAAAAUCCAUCUGAGAAAUUGCUACAGUAUUAUGAGUGGCAAAAUCUAUAGUAUGUUACAUGCUGAGAAAGAAAGAAAGCAGUGUUGAACUCAACAACGCAAAAAGACCUGGACGUCCACGGAAGACCACAGUGGUGGAUGAUCGCAGAAUCAUUUCCAUGGUGAAGAGAAACCCCUUCAUAACAACUAACCAAGUGAACAACACUCUACAGGAGAUGGCGCUGUGCUCCACUUGCCCUAAUGACCCUUCACCUCCCCUCUUGUGUACGGUGAACAUGAAUCACAGUUUUUGACAGAUCUCAAAACUGCCCCUGUGCAGGGAGACGAUUUCUCAUCAGGCACUAGCAGCCGGAGCACCAAGCUCAUUCACGGAGGAGUCCGAUAUCUACAGAAAGCCAUCAUGAAAUUGGAUUACAAACAGCAUUUUGUCCAGCCGCAGAGUUCCUCUCACUCCACUGAGUUUUGUACCUCCAGGAGGCUGGAACGACUGGUGGUGUGAGCCGAGCGGAGUGCCAAUCUGUGACAGGCCCCACAACAGAGAGCUGUGAAUCACGGGUUCAAAGGUCACUACAAGGCUCAGCAAUCAUCGAGGAUCAGACGCUGCCUACCGGUGCCAAGCCUCUCUCAAGUCUUAGCCGCUUGUGUGUGUGUAUGCGUGUGCAUGCGUGUGCUCAUACACCACCGGUGGCAUAAGUUUGCUAACCACAUACUAUAAUGGUCACAUUCACCCUACAGAGAUGAAGAAGUGGAUUCUAUGGUCUUCCUAAUACAUCAUGGCAGGGUGCAUACUCUUGUAUGUAAUUCAUUCUAAAAUGUGGCCUUUAAAUCUGUUGUUGUUGGGUCUUUUUUUUUCUUUCUUUUUUUUUACUUUUCCCCUUCAUUUUAUUUAUUUAUUUUCUGUAGUGAGGGAAUGGCUUCCAGCAUGCUGUAGCAUUAAGCAGAGCCCACCAGCUAGCUAGCCUCAAGUCACUCAAACGUAAAAUAAAUCAGGGCACAAAGGACCCUGCUCAUUCCUGCAAAGUAGCAACAUUUUCCCUGGCCAACAAUGAGGACUUGAACUUCCUUGGCAAUAACAAAUAGAAAGAAAGUCACCCGAGACACCAACAUUAAAAGUGAUUAAUCAUCUCUAUUCUCUCUUUACUUUUGAACCAAGGGAUUGUCCAGCAAUAAAUCUUCAAAGAUGUACAUAAGAAUCACUUCCUAAUGAAACUGGGCUUUGUUCAUUUGUCACCUUUUAGACCCUUUCAUUUAAAUUACAAAACUUGUGACCUUGUGACUCUGAAUAUAGAUCUCUGGUAUUUUAGAGCUGAAGAGGGAUUAAUCCAUAAAUCUUGAUACUUGAUUUCUCUCUUCAUUAAAAGGAUUCUGCCAAGGGAUCUUCUUCUAGAAAGGAAGAUCAGCCGCUGUCAAGAUUUGUUUACCGUCAUAUUGACAUAUUGAAAAAUGUGAUUAUUAGGAGGAGACGUGACCGCUUUCACUGAUCACUGCUCUCUUUUAAAAUGAAGCCUGCUGAAGUUGUGCACACAAAACUGUUAAAGUAAUCUUAAUGAAAUGUUCAAAUGACAGGAAUAACUAUUAUGUACUACACAAGAGGCACACUCUCAAACAACCAUUUUUUUUUAGCUCCUCAGCACUCUUUGUAUAUUCAAGGCAUCAGUGCAUCUAUUCCUUGCAUUCCCUUCCUUUUCCCGAGGAGUGCUUACCCUUCCCAGUGUAGGAGAAGAGAGGGGAGGGGCUGCCGGGGCCCCACACUCAGGCCAAAGGGCCACUGUGGCUUUAAGUGUGCUCCUUGUGUGGCCAGAGCAGCCAUCGCACUGAUGCAAAGUGACAGGGACAGAUGUGACAUAUCGGUUCCGACACACUUCCAUACCACCAGUCACAGGCUUGGGGUGACUCACAUCCCCCUGCUCUGGUCCUGUCCCCCCGCUGCAGGACAACACAACGAUGCUCGAAUGAACCUCGCCAUCGCCCUCACUGCUGCCAGGUAUGGGGCUGCCAUAGCCAAUUACACUGAAGUGGUGCACCUACUGGAGAGGGCAGACCCUCAGACGGGGAAGGAGAGGGUCUGCGGAGCGCACUGCAGGGAUGUGAUCACAGGUAAAUCCAACAAAAGCCGCUUCCUUCCUUCCUGCCUCACUCUAUUCCCACUCUCUCUAGCCCUCACAACAGGGUUCCUCCCAGCGCCUCUUACUCAGUGCUAGUUUGCACAUAGUCAUUGCACAUCUAAUGCAGGGGCUUUUAAUAUUUUAUAAGCGUUUUAUGGUGUAGAGGACUGCUUCAGAUCUUGUAGGGAGGAACAUAAGACAGAAUUAGCGUACUCCAAAUGGCCUUACUUACCUUUUAAAUGUCAUGCAUAGGGCUGGCUUUGGAAGAAUAAAGCAGUUAAGGGUAAAAGAUGGUAUUCUGAAACAUUUCAUGAAUAACCAAGAUUUGAGGAUCUCAACACAUGACCACCCCCUGAUGUUUUAAAAGAUGGAAGUGUGCUCUUGGAGGAGAUGUCUCACUUUAAUAAUGUGAGAGGAGGGCCUCACAUAGGGAGGGCUCAGACUGAAAGGAUAAUAAAAACAGUUUUGUCAUCAGUUCUUUUUUCUUUGUCUUUUAUUUUUUCUUCUUUUUUUUCUCGCUCACUGAGAUAUGAAUUUCUGGCUUAUGAACGCAGUCAUUCCUGUUCUUUUCUUCGCUUCUCUUAGCAGUGGCAGCAUCACGCAUCAGAUUUUUAAAGGUAGUUUGUCAUUCAGCUUGUUGCCAAAACAGACCAUUUGCUAUCCUCAUGGUAUCUUUUGAUAUGCAUCCCAUUAUAUACUGUAGCUCGUCAACAUCAAGCAUCACAUUAACAAACAUUUCCCUUCCACAAUUUCAAAAGACCCUCAGUCACUGCCACUGAGCUACUCUGUGACACAAAGAGGCAAGAGGGAAAUUAGGUAUGUCUGUUUCCUAUUAAUUACAAUCCUGGGAAGUCUCCCAUGGACACACUCGAGCCACUCUAUUACGGAGAGAGGGGGGCGUUCGCUGAUAAAUUAAUAAUCCGGCUUGUCACCAGCCACAGAUGAAUAGCCCCUGGUGAUUGAUGCUGUUUUCUUUCAUAGGGCAGGAAUUUGAUGUCAGAGCCAAAUGUGUUAUCAAUGCCACGGGACCUUUUACGGACGCGCUGUGGAAAAUGGAUGAUCAGAAGAACCCCGACAUCUGUCAGCCCAGUGCCGGGGUGCACAUCGUCAUCCCGGCUAUUACAGGUAACUAACGGUGGACCCCUACGUCUCUGUCACUAUCCUCCUGUAUCA